GCCGGAAUAGCUCAGUCGGUAGAGCAGAGGACUGAAAAUCCUCGUGCA
rnacentral:tRNA from 1 species